UCUACAUUCUGAAGGCUUGAUGCUGAAGUUUCUACUGCCCUUCCACAAGGAGGACAGCCUGUGGUCCCCACAAUGAGAUCUGGUUCUUUCUGCUCAUUCGUGGAGUGACUUGGAGAGCAGGGAGCUGAUUUGCAGAAGGACCACUUGGUAGACAGGCACCAGAGAUUACACCAUCGGCGAUAGAGCUACACGGUGAACAUUUGCAACAAUCUGGAGGAAUACGUCCUUUGCACUCGACACAUCUCACCCAUUUAUAAGAUCUCUGCUUUGUUCCAGAAAGCUCAGGCUAUUCAAGAUUCUGACGACAUGUUGGUGGAUUCAAGCAUGGAUACUCGAGCAGCCACCAAAUCAUUUCUGAGCUCUGUCUACUGAGAGGAAGUCACAUAAACCAGGUAUGAUUUGUGCACUUUUCUUCAGUACGUCAUACAUCAACCAAAAGUUUAUUGACUUUUUCAUGCCACUGGAUCCAAGACACCCACAUCCUGGACUGAAGGAUUGGAUUUGAAUGAAGCUCAUUUUCAUCGCAAGACAAAGGCGGGCUGCCCACAGCAAUGGUGGUGUGUCACCUCGUGUAACUGCCUGAGUCAUUUACCCAACGUAACAAGACAGC